rnacentral:rRNA from 1 species
AUGAACGCUGGCGGCGUGCCUAAUACAUGCCAGUCGAGCGAACAGACGAGGAGCUUGCUCCUCUGACGUUAGCGGCGGACGGGUGAGUAACACGUGGAUAACCUACCUAUAAGACUGGGAUAACUUCGGGAAACCGGAGCUAAUACCGGAUAAUAUAUUGAACCGCAUGGUUCAAUAGUGAAAGACGGUUUUGCUGUCACUGAUAGAUGGAUCCGCGCCGCAUUAGCUAGUUGGUAAGGUAACGGCUUACCAAGGCAACGAUGCGUAGCCGACCUGAGAGGGUGAUCGGCCACACUGGAACUGAGACACGGUCCAGACUCCUACGGGAGGCAGCAGUAGGGAAUCUUCCGCAAUGGGCGAAAGCCUGACGGAGCAACGCCGCGUGAGUGAUGAAGGUCUUCGGAUCGUAAAACUCUGUUAUUAGGGAAGAACAAAUGUGUAAGUAACUAUGCACGUCUUGACGGUGCCUAAUCAGAAAGCCACGGCUAACUACGUG